CAGCCAAUCAUGGGCGUUCAGGGAGAGAUCCGUUAUCGACCGUUAUUUUUUGUUUGAUCUUCCGGAGCGCGUGCGGGCGAGCGUUGUGCGACGUUCGCGAAACCGAGACCUUUGGCGGUGCGCGUCUGCGCGUUAGAUGUUUCUUUCAACCAGUUCGGCGGGAUGGCUGCUGUGUAUCUAUGGACACUACUGUGCAGCAAAGUGGUGCCGGAACACGACGAAAACCGCUGACAGCAGUUUUUUCCGUUUUACGACGGACGACAGAGCCAGUAAAUGUAUAUGCUAGUGAAAUCGCCCAGAAUUCAAGUUGUUGCCUCUGAGCAAACUCCGCGAGCGUCGUCUCUGCGGCGAAGAUUUCGCCGCGUCUGCCUUCAGAAGUUCAAGGAGGACACGACUCCGAGAUAAUGCGUGCCCAUCUGUCCUAGUGACAAAUCCACUAUUGAAGGCCCUCGUCUCUCCAGAGUUCCUCGCUCCUGGCUUUCGCCUAACUGGUGCGUCCACCGCCUCCACUUUAGAUCCACCUGCAGCCCCAGUUGAGCCAGGACCAUCACACAGCACAGACCAAGGGCUGGAAGACCACAUGUGUUCCUGAUCAGGCUCUGACUGACUCUUAUGCACAGGAAGACCUCCGCGCUUUCUGAGUCAGAACCGUGCGCUUUGGUUUGGACGGGCAAAACUGCGGGCGAGCGCGC